rnacentral:rRNA from 1 species
CCUACGGGAGGCAGCAGUGAGGGAUAUUGGUCAAUGGGGGAAACCCUGAUCCAGCAACGCCGCGUGAGGGAAGACGGCUUUCGGAUUGUAAACUUCUGUCAUCGGGGAAGAUAAUGACGGUAGCAGAGGAGGAAGCUCCGGCUAACUACGGGCCAGCAGCCGCGGUAAUACGUAGGGGGCAAGCGUUGUCCGCAUUUACUGGGUGUAAAGGGGGCGUAGGCGGCGCGGCAAGUCAGAAGUGAAAUCCACGGGCUCAACCCGUGAACUGCUUUUGAAACUGUAGAGCUUGAGUGAAGUAGAGGCAAGCGGAAUUCCCGGUGUAGCGGUGAAAUGCGUAGAGAUCAGGAGGAACACCAGUGGCGAAGGCGGCCUACUGGACUAUAACUGACGCUGAGGCGCGAAAGCGUGGGGAGCAAACAGGAUUAGAUACCCUAGUAGUC